CCCUUAGAUGUUCUGGGCCGCACGCGCGCUACACUGAUGAAUGCAACGAGCUCUACCCUUGACCGAAAGGCCCGGGUAAACUUGUGAAACUUCAUCGUGAUGGGGAUAGAUUAUUGCAAUUAUUAAUCUUCAACGAGGAAUUCCUAGUAAGCGCGAGUCAUCAGCUCGCGUUGAUUACGUCCCUGCCCUUUGUACACACCGCCCGUCGCUCCUACCGAUUGAAUGGUCCGGUGAAAUCUUCGGAUUGCUGACCAAGAUCCAGCAAUGGAGCUUGGUUGCGAGAAGUUGAUUAAACCUUAUUAUUUAGAGGAAGGAGAAGUUGUAACA
rnacentral:rRNA from 1 species